rnacentral:rRNA from 1 species
CAGCAGCCACGGGAAUACGUAGGUGGCAAGCGUUGUCCGGAAUUAUUGGGCGUAAAGGGCUCGCAGGCGGUUUCUUAAGUCUGAUGUGAAAGCCCCCGGCUCAACCGGGGAGGGUCAUUGGAAACUGGGAAACUUGAGUGCAGAAGAGGAGAGUGGAAUUCCACGUGUAGCGGUGAAAUGCGUAGAGAUGUGGAGGAACACCAGUGGCGAAGGCGACUCUCUGGUCUGUAACUGACGCUGAGGAGCGAAAGCGUGGGGAGCGAACAGGAUUAGAUACCCCCGUAGUCCCUGUCUCUUAUAA